CGAGCAACAAAACAAAAACAGUAAACUAGCCAGCCUUAAUCGCCUAACCUAACAAAGUAGAGCCAGCUAGCCACACUGUGCAGAGAUAACUUUCUCAAUCUGGAACGAAGAAAAAGCAAAAAUAAAAUACCUCCCUUAAUCUAUUUUAUUGGAGCAUCUGCGAUGGCAUCAAAAUCCUUCUUGCUCCUGACAACACAUCGUUUUUUCGUUUCCUG
rnacentral:misc_RNA from 1 species